AAAUUUGGGGGGUCCCCGAAGGCUCCGAGACCCCCCCGGACCUGGAGGAGGAAGUGUCCAUCGUGCGUGGGUCAGACCCGACCCCCCCCCCACUGCUUCACUCGGACCCUGCAGGAGCUGCUCUGCUUCUGGGAGAGGGAGCACUUCCGGCUGCAGUUCCGCCUGGAGUGAGUGACCUCUGACCCCUCUGUGACCCCUGACCCCUGUGUGACCCCUCACUGAGCCCUGACCCCUGUCUCUGCUUCUGGGAGAGGGAGCACUUCCGGCUGCAGUUCCGCCUCGAGCAGGACCCGUGGCAGGACUGUCCCCUCCGUGUCACCCCCCGCCCGGGGGGGGGUCCCGGUGCUCUGUGUGACCCCUGAGUGACCCCUGAGUGACCCUGAGUGACCCCUGUGUGACCCGUGCGUGACCCCUGACCCCCCGAUGACCCCUGACCUCUGACCCCAGGCAGGACCCGUGGCAGGACUGUCCCCC